rnacentral:rRNA from 1 species
AGUAAAAAGAGAGUAACUCGUUUUUUUGAAAAGACGCAACUGCGGUGCGUUCAAAUCGCCCGUCACCCUAGCCGAAAGGAGAGGUAAGUCGUAACAUGGUAAGGGUAGGGGAACUUGCUCUUUUAAUGAAAAAGUAAAAAGGCAUGCUUAAUUUUUUAGGCUUUACUAGAAAG